rnacentral:rRNA from 1 species
UACGUAGGGUGCAAGCGUUUGUCCGGAAUUAUUGGGCGUAAAGAGCUCGUAGGCGGUCUGUCGCGUCUGCUGUGAAAACUCAGGGCUUAACCCUGAGCUUGCAGUGGGUACGGGCAGACUAGAGUGCGGUAGGGGAGACUGGAAUUCCUGGUGUAGCGGUGAAAUGCGCAGAUAUCAGGAGGAACACCGGUGGCGAAGGCGGGGUCUCUGGGCCGGAUACUGACGCUGGAGGAGCG